rnacentral:tRNA from 1 species
GCUGGUAUGGCGGAACUGGCAGACGCGAUAGAUUCAGAGUCUAUUGGGCUUAUGCUCGUGCAGGUUCGAUUCCUGUUACCAGCACCA